CGGAUGGGGGGAGAGACCCCGCAGCGCCCAUAUGCACCCCCAUAGCCCUGUUAGCGACAAGAGGAGGACCUCAUCCUAAUCUGAGCUGAAAUCGACUAUGUCAGAAAUAGGGGAAGAACUCCAUCCUAACGCCAGUCGAGAUCUGGUCGUUUAAGAUCAGAUAGGAAGAAGGAGACCUUCCCAGCGGCCCCUUCGCGCUCCGGCGACCCCAUCAAGAGCAGAGGGAAAACCCUCACUCAAAAAAGAAAAAGGAGAAAGGGGAGGG
rnacentral:lncRNA from 1 species